UCUUCUUCUUCUUCUUCUUCUUCGUCUUCUUGUUCUUCUUCUUCUUCUUCUUCUUCGUCUUCUUCUUAUUCUUCUUCUUCUUCUUCUUCUUCUUCUUCUUCUUUUUCUUCUUCUUCCUCUUCUUCUUCUCCUUCUAACUUUCUUAUUCUUAUUUUGCAGAUUUCGUUCACUUCAAGGAAGUUGACAUUGAUAGGUUUCUAUUGGUUUCUUUUGUUUCGAUUUGUAUGGAUGAAAAGUGGGAUGUUUCAAACUAU
rnacentral:lncRNA from 1 species